rnacentral:rRNA from 1 species
GACAUAGGUGGCGAACGUUAUCCGGAAUUAUUGGGCGUAAAGGAUGCGUAGAUGGUAAAAAUAAGUUAUUGGUCGAUGCCAAAACUCAAUUUGGCGGAAGCUGGUAAUACUGUUCUGCUAGAGGAUAGGAGAGGUUGAUGGAACUCUAUGUGUAGGGGGUGAAAUCCGUUGAUCUAUAGAGGAACACCAAAUGGCGAAGGCAAUCAACUAUUCUGUUCCUGACAUUGAGGCAUGAAAGCGUGGGUAGCAAACCGG